UUAAAGUUUUAUUUUGGCUUAGGAUUUUAUUAUUGAUUUAUUUUAUAUGUAAGUUUUUGCGUGUAUUUUUAUUUAUUUUAAUAAUAAAUAAAUUUUAAUUAUAGUCUCAGUAAAUAGUUUUAUUAAUCAAGGAAACUUGGAAAUAGUAAUUUCAGAGAGUAUUGGCUAAAUUUGUGCCAGCAGCCGCGGUUAUACAAAUAAUGCGAAUAAAAUUUGAUUAGUGUGAGUUAAAAUUGUUAAUGUUAAAGUAAAAUAAGAUUUAUUAGGUGAAAUUUUAAAUUUUAUAAUCUUUAUAUAUUGAAGUUUUUGAAGCUUGUAAAUUUUAGAUAUAAACUAGGAUUAGAUACCCUAUUAUUUAAAAUGUAAAUAUAAACACUGAGGUAGUAGUAGUUAUGUUCUUGAAACUUAAAAAAUUUGGCGGUACUUUAGUCUAUUCAGAGGAAUCUGUCCUGUAAUUGAUAAUCCACGAUGAACCUAACUUAAGAUUGUAUUUCAGUUUAUAUACCGUCGUUAUCAGAAUAUUUUAUUAGAAUAAUAAUUUUCUAUAAUUUUAAUUGGAAUGUAUAUCAGAUCAAGGUGUAGCUUAUACUUAAGUAGAGAUGGAUUACAAUAAAUUUAUUUAAACGGAUCUAAAUUUGAAAUAUUUUUAGUGAAGGUGGAUUUGAUAGUAAAAUUUUAAAGAUUGUAAAUUUGAUUUUAGCUCUAGAGUAUGCACACAUCGCCCGUCGCUCUUACUAUUAAGGUAAGAUAAGUCGUAACAUAGUAGAUGUACCGGAAGGUGUAUCUAGAAUGA
rnacentral:ncRNA from 1 species